GCCAACUAACCAACCAUCCACCCACCCAACCAACAAACCAACCAAUCAACCAACCAGCCAAUUUUGAAACCAUCCAGAGGAAGACUAUUACAGGUAGAAGAAAAUGCAAGAGGAAAUUCCUGGGCUGAUUAAAUGUUCUAGCAAGGAAACAUGAAGCUGGUCCAACGUGCUGCUGGGAUGGCUCCUUGAAGCUUGAACAUGAUGACCUUCAGCAAAGGAGGUGGAGAUGUACAGAGGAGGAGACCGUUAGUUCCCUGAGUGAAGAGAUGCUAUCUUGGUAUCUCCAGCUUCCAACCGGGGGCUUGGCACAGAAUAGGGGCUUGGUAAAUGUUUUCCAAAUGAAUGGGAUGUCUGAUGGAAAGAAGACAAGGUGAAGGAAUUCCUGGGUAAUAUGGAGAUGAGAAUCUGUGAGAAGGAUACAUGUACUGAUGCCUGUCGCGGUGGACACACAGACGCACACAUUGCGGAACACCACCAUAAGAAUAUUGAGAAUAUCGAGAACACUUCAAUAUUCCAAACUUCAAUGGAAAUAUACGUAGGUUUCACUUAACUAUGGUCCUGAUGGCUUUUUUGAAAAAGAAAGAAAGAAAAAAUGUUUUCAUCAUAUUAAGAAAAUGUCUUAGUCUUAGUUCAGAGAUUUCAUCAGAAAAUGAUGUUGAUUUAUAUAAAAGCUUUUUCAUAGAUAUAUCAAACCUAUAGAAAUUAUAAUGCAUUUUUCUCCUCUUUUGAUAUAUUGAUACAAUGCUGCAGAUCUUCUAAGAUUGAAUGAUCCUUGCAUUACUGAAAUAAGUAUUGUCAUAGUGUAUUAUCAUUUUAUUACAGUAUGCAUUUGA
rnacentral:lncRNA from 1 species